rnacentral:lncRNA from 1 species
GAAAUUCUUGUGCUAUUAAUUUUAAGAUAAGAUCUGAGCAAUUAUUGGUUAAAAAUGGUUUGAAUUGGUUGGUGUCUAAGGGUUUUGGUUCAUUCGUGGUUCAAAUGUUGUUGUUGGGUUGUGAAGUUACUUUUCUGGGCUGUUUUCGCAUCAUUUUCUAAGCUAAGAAACUGGUUAUUUUUGGAUGAUUUUGUGUUUUUGGUUGUUGUUAACACUUCGCCUCUAUUUCUCAUUUUCCCCAGGUAUACAAUUUUGUAACUCGUUGGUUAUGACGUGAAGGAAUAAAAAAUGGGAGUUUGAAGUAGCACAUCUGGUUAAUUUGUUUGUUUGCAAGUUGCUCUGAUUUCUUUCUUUCCUCAUAAUUCUUGCAUGCCUAGCCAUUCAAAUAUUGAAUCAUGUUCAUUUACAUAGUAAUUUCCUUUUAGUUUUGAUUCUCAAAUGAUUGUAAUUAAUGUUGGACUGUCAGAUUGUGAUGUAUUCAAAUCUCAUUUGGUUAUUAUAGCUUUAAUAUAGGUUAAUGUUUGCGAUCCAGGCUAGUUAAAUGUAGGAAUUGAUUGGAAUUGUCAGUUUCUCCUUUGUCUAUAGGUACAAUUUUGAUAUUCC